UCUCACUACUGCACUUGACUAGUCUU
rnacentral:piRNA from 5 species